AUUCCAUGAUUUGGGCAUUUUCUCAUCAUCUCAUUAAACCUAUUCCACGCUUCGCGAUAGCUUACUCUCUCUUCCUGUUGAAAAGUUUGAAUCUCUAAUAUGAUUUU
rnacentral:snoRNA from 1 species